CUGGGAGAUGACCUGGGGCACCACGCCCUGCCUAUCUCAGACAAGGAACUCCAGGCAGCAGUGGCGAAGCUAAGCAGCUCCAUCCUUAAGGGGCGGAGGCCGGCUCAUAUUUGCCUAUUAGGGCCGUGGGACGCCGAGGUUCUGCUGGGUCCCUCCUGGAAAUAGAUCCUUCCCAGCCAGCACCCGAAGUCAGCAGCAGAGGGCAAAGCACCUGGGCUUUAUUUAGCUCCAAGCUCCACGAUCCUCCUGGGACUGAGAUAUCUUUGUCAUUUACCUGGGAUUUACAGGGACCAAAAAGCUGGACAUCAUUCACCACUGGGAACAGCAUAUUGUUCCUGGAAGAGGCAAAAGCCUAGGGCUUCAAGAUGCCGGGGCUUUAAGAAACCAAGGCAUGACCUCAAGUGAUUUGCCGGAGGUGGCCUCGGUGGCAGCAGUCAUUGAAGAAAGGAAGACAGCUGCCCAGCCAGUCUGACAGACCAUACACAGACAGCCCUGUUCACAGGGAGGCGUGGGCAAAGAUUUCAUGACGAAACAUCAAAAGCAAUUGCAACAAAAGCAAAAAUUGACAAAUAUGAUUUAAUUAAACAAAAGAGCUUCUGCACAGCAAAAGAAACCAUCAUCAGAGUGAACAGACACAACCUAUAGAACGGGAGAACACUUUUGCAAUCUAUCCAUCUGACAAAGGUCUAAUAUCCAGAGUCUACAAGGAACUUAAACAAAUUUACAAGAAAAAAACAAACUACCCCAUUAAACAGUGGGCAAAAAACAUGAACAGACACUUCUCAAAAGAAGACAUUUAUGCAUCCAAAAAACACGAUAAAAAGCUCAGCGUCACUGAUCAUUAGAGAAACGCAAAUCAAAACAACGAGAUACCAGUCAGAAUGGCAACUAUUAAAAAGUCAAGAGGCCAAGUGCAGUGGCUAAUGCCUGUAAUCCCAACACUUUGAGAGGCCGAGGUGAGCAGAUCACUUGAGGUCAGGAGUUCAAGACCAGCCUGGCCAAUGUGGUAAAACCCUGUGUCCACUAAAAAUGCAAAAAUUAGCUGGGCAUGGUGGUGCAUGCCUGUGGUCCUAGCUACUUGGGACCUGCUGAGGCAGGAGAAUCACUUGAACUCAGGAGGCAGAGGUUGCAGCGAGUUGAGAUUGUGCCACUACACUCCAACCUGGGUGACAGAGUGAAACUCUUGUCUCAAUAAAUAAAUAAGUAAAUAAAUAAAAAUAAAAAGUAAAGAAACAACAGAUGCUGGCAAGGCUAUGGAGAAAUGGGAACGCUUUCUAUACUGUUGUUGCAAAUAUACACUAGUUCAACCAUUGUGGAAGACAGUGUGAUGAUUCCUCAAAGACCUAGAACCAGAAAUACCAUUUGACCCAGCAAUCCCAUUACUGGGUAUAUAACCAAAGGAAUAGAAAUCAUUCUACUAAAAGAUACAUGCAUGCGUGUGUUCAUUGCAGCACUAUUCACAAUAGCAGACAUGGAACCAACCUAAAUGCCCAUCAAUAAUAGACUGGAUAAAGAAAAUGUGGUGCAUAUACACCAUGGAAUUCUAUGCAACCAUAAAAAGGAAUGUGAUCAUGUUCUUUGCAGGGACAUGGAUGAAGCUGAAAGCCAUUAUUCUCAGCAAACUAACACAGGAACAAAAAAACAAACACCACAUGUUCUCACUUAUAAGUGGGAGCUGAACAAUGAGAACACAUGGACACAGGGAGGGGAACAACAUACACUGCGGCCUAUCGGGGGGGCUGGGAGAGGGAGAGCAUCAGGAUAAAUAGCUAAUGCAUGCGGGCCUUAAUACGUAGGUGAUGGGUUGAUAGGUGCAGCAAACCACCAUGGCACAUGUUUACCUAUGUAACAAGCCUGCACAUCCUGCACAUGUAUCCUGGAACUUAAAAUCAAAAAAUAAAAUAAAAAAACGUGAUUAUGAAAAAA
rnacentral:lncRNA from 1 species